rnacentral:rRNA from 1 species
GAUGAACGCUGGCGGCGUGCCUAAUACAUGCAAGUCGAGCGAACGGACGAGAAGCUUGCUUUUCUGAUGUUAGCGGCGGACGGGUGAGUAGCACGUGGAUAACCUACCUAUAAGACUGGGAUAACUUCGGGAAACCGGAGCUAAUACCGGAUAAUAUUUUGAACCGCAUGGUUCAAAAGUGAAAGACGGUCUUGCUGUCACUUAUAGAUGGAUCCGCGCUGCAUUAGCUAGUUGGUAAGGUAACGGCUUACCAAGGCAACGAUGCAUAGCCGACCUGAGAGGGUGAUCGGCCACACUGGAACUGAGACACGGUCCAGACUCCUACGGGAGGCAGCAGUAGGGAAUCUUCCGCAAUGGGCGAAAGCCUGACGGAGCAACGCCGCGUGAGUGAUGAAGGUCUUCGGAUCGUAAAACUCUGUUAUUAGGGAAGAACAUAUGUGUAAGUAACUGUGCACAUCUUGAAGGUACCUAAUCAGAAAGCCACGGCUAACUACGUG